CCAGUUAUUGAAGAAAUUGUCUUUUCUCCAUUGUAUAUUCUUGCCUCGUUUGUUGUAGCUUAAUUGACUGUAAGUGUUUGGAUUUGUUUCUGGAUUUUUUAUCCUGUUCCAUUGAUCUACGUGUCAGGUUUUUUUGGUUUUGUUUUUUUGUUUUGGCCAUGACAUGUAGAAGUUCCUGUGCCAAGGAUCUAACCCAUGCCAAAGCAGUGGCCCCAGCUUCUGCAGUGAUAAUGCUGAAUCCUUAACCCAGUAUGCCACAAGGGAACUCCUCCUUGUGUAUGUUUUUUUGUGCCAGUACCAUACUGUUUUGAUUAUUGCAGCUGUGUAGUAUAGUCUGAAAACAAGAAGUGUGAUUCCUCCAGUUCCAUUCUUUCUCAAGAUUGUUUUGGCUAUUUGGUUUUUUUUGGUGUGUGUUUCCAUACAAACUUUAAAAUUUCUUGUUCCACUUCAAUGCAAUCUCUAUCAAAAUUCCAACGGCAUUUUUUUACAUGAAUAGAAAAAAAUAAUUUUAUAACUUAUAUGGAAACACAACCCCCAAAUAACUAAAGCAAUCUUGAGAAAGAACAGAGGUCGAGGCAUUAAAAACAAACAUGUAGACUAAUGGAGCAGAAUAGAGAGUACAGAAAUAAACUCAUGCAUAUACAGUCAAUUGAUCUUCAGUAAUGUUGCCAAGAAUAUAUUAUGGGGAAAGGAAUGUCUCUUCAAAAAUUAGUCUUGGGAAACUGAAUAUUCACAUGAGAAUAAAUUGGAUACCUAUCUUACACUAUACAUAAAAAUCUAAGUGAAAAUGGAUUAAAGGCUUAAAAGUAAGAACUUAAACUGUAAAUUCCCAGCAGAAAACAUAGGGGAAAACUUCAUUAUAUCAAUUAUUUCUUGGAUUUAACACUAAAAGUACGAGCAUCAAGUGCAAAAAUAGACAAGCAGGAUUAUCUCAAGCUGAAAUGCUUCUGCCUAGCAAAGGAAAUAGUGAACAGAAUGAAAAGACAGCUUGCAAAGUGGGAGAAAAUAUUUGUCAACCAUAUAUCUGAUAAAGGGCUAAUACCUAAAAUGCAUAAGGAAGUCCUACAACUCAAAAACUAAAAAAUAAGUAAUCUGAUUCGAAAAUGGAAAAAGGACUUAGACAUUUCUCCCAAGAAUACCUAUACACGGCCAAUAGUUAUAUAAGAUGCUCAACAUCAUUGGUCAUCAGGAAAACACAUAUCAAAACAAUGAGGUGUCACCUCACAGUUAGCAUAUUAGGAUAACUAUUACUGAAAAAUGAAAAGCCAACCAGUGUUGGUGAGGAUGUAAAGAAAUUUGAACCCUUGUAUACUAUUGAUGGGAAUGUAAAGGGGUGCUGCCACAGUGGAAAACUGAAUGGAAGUUCUUCAAAAAACCAAAAAUAGGACUAUGAUCUAAGUAUGAUCUAUAAGUAUGAUCUAUCAAUCCUACUUCUGAGCAUAUAUUGAAAUUAGGAUCUCAAAGUAGUAUCAACAGACCAUGAUUUUUUUUUUUUGCAAAAUUAUUUGCAGUAGUCAAGAUAUAGAAACAGUCUAAAUAUCUGUUGAUGGAUAAACUGAUAGAGAAAAUGUAGUAUGAAGAUACAAUUCUGUAUUAUUCAGCCUUACAAAAAAGAGGAAAUCCUGCUCUAUGUGACAACAUGGAUGAAUGUGGAGGACAUUAGAUUUAGGACAAACUCUGCAUGAUUCCACUUAUAAGAGAUAUCUAUAAUAGUCAAACUUGUAGAAACAAUGUAGAAUUGUUCUUGCCAAGUGCUGAAAGGAGGGGAAAUGGGGAAUAAUUCUUCACUGGAUAUAAAUUUUAUUUUUUCAGUCAAAUAAGUUCUAGAGAUCCACUCUACAAAAUUAUGUCUAUAGUUGACAGUGUACACUUACUGUGCACUUCAGAAUUUAUUAAGAAGGUAGUUCAUAAGUGUUUUCACCACAGUAACAAAGAAAGAAAAGUUUACUUACGAACAAGAAGUACAUUUCAUUAUCUGGGCAAAAAUAGCUGUAAAGGACAUUAUUGGGACAAGUGGUAAAUCUCGAACACAGACGGAUUUAUAUAAUAAUGUACCAAAAUUAGUUUUCCUGAUUUUGAUAAUCGUAUGGUGAUUUUGUAAGGGAAUGUCCUUGUUCUUAGAAAAUAUAUAUUGAAGUAUUUUGGGGGUUACAGUCCAUGAUGUCUGCAAUUUCCUUUCUUUUUUUUUGCCUUUUUUUUUUUUCUUUUUAGGGCUGCACCUGCAGAAUAUGGAGGUUUCCAGGCUAGGGAUCAAAUCAGAGCUACAGCUACCAGCUUAUGCCAUAGCCACAGCCACGUGGGAUCUGAGCCGCAUCUGUGACAUACACCACAGCUCAUGGCAAUGCCAGAUCCUUAACCUGCUGAGCGAGGCCAGGGAUUGAACCUACAACCUCAUGGUUCCAAGUCAGAUUAGUUUCUACUACGCCAUGACAGGAACUCCUGCAAUUUCCUUUUAAAUAGCAAAUAAUUCAGAAAAAAACUAUGUCUGAGGAUGUAUGAACAUAGAGAAAGAUAGACAUAAAAAUCAUAAAUAAGGUAAAAAGUUAACACUUGUUGAAUCUGGGUGAAAGUUAUAUUAGAGUUCUUUAUAUCAUUUAUGCAAUCUUAACGCAUUUUUGAAGUUAUCUAAAUUGAAAAGCUAAAUAAAAAAGAUAUUUCUUAAAAAAAGAGGAAAUGACCUUGCCAUUCUCUAUCAUUAGUAGCUUGGAAAGUAAGCAAGGAGUGGAUUCUUGGGGUGCUGGAACAUCAUUGAUGAAAUAUAGUCAGAGUUCAGUCAGCUGAGUGUACGCAUUUGGAAUUUAGAAUAAAAUGUCUUGGUUAAAACACUUAGGAACAUAUCAUUUGCUGAGUUGACUUAUCUAAAUCUAUACCCAAAGUUCGGCUUAUAGUUAAUAAGGUUAAAAUGCUAGCACUUCUCAUUGCAGCAUUCUGAAAGGUAGGAGUCUGAAGCUGCAGGACAUGGGAAGAUUGGAAUAGAUUUAUUCUGUGCAACCUCUCAGGCAUCCCUGAUGCUAUCCUCUGGGAGGACAUGGAGGGCACUGUCUUUAUUCAAGCACUAAGAGAUCAUUGGUAAGGAGCACACCACCAUCCUAAAACCUCUGGAUUUCCUGUUCUCAGUAGCCCAGAUAUAGGGAAAUUUCAGUGAAACUGGGUGUUUGAUCUCAAUGAGAGUAAUAUCAUAAGGAGUUGUAGAGAACAGGUGGUGAUGCAAUUACUACAAUAAAAUCAUGUUUAAAAUGUUAUUAGAGGAUUUCUGACCUGCAGGAAUUUCUGGCAGUAGCUCCUUAGAAAUGAAAUAGAUGGGGAGUAAAGUGCUCCUUGAAAGACAUGGGAAAAACAGUUUUUAGUUUGGCUGGGAAGGAAUCAAAUUUGUAUUACCUUAAGUGGGAUUUAUCCAUUUCCUAAGCCAGUACACAGCUCCAGAUCCCCUUGCAUUAAGGAGAGGUAAGGUUUUUUGAGAAAUGACAAUGUAACAAACCCAUAAGCAUUCUCCAACUGCCCCCAAAGCCAUUUAUCAGAGUAACUGUGCAUGGGAGAGAAUGGAAACCAACUUUCCUGGGAUUUCUUGAGUUUUUUCUCUGAACUUAAAAUGAUCUCUAGAAACCAAAAAUAACACCAUAGUUCACAAGUCAUUGUAGGACCUUGCAGAGUUCAAGUUGUGGCAUCCUGGAUAGUGUCUGCCUAAAGAUGUAUCCGAUAAGAACAUGAACGCAUACUCAGAUUAUUUUUCCAGUUGUGAAAAUGCAUAUAGUAUGCUUAGUAAUUGCAGAUGACGCUUCCAUAUUUGUUCAAGCACAAGCUCAGUUCAUAGAUUUAUCUGUAUAGUAUGUCGGCAUCAGAAAGAAUAGUUUGGCUGCUGCCUUGCUAUCCUACUCAAGAUGGCCUGAAAUAAAUUGAUGAACAGACAUCCACCUGAGCAGAACUCUUCAUGAACAGCUGGUUGUAUAUUUUGUGUGGAAAGUAGCCUAAAAUACAGAUUCGUGCAGCAGCUAGAGGACUGGCUGACUCGUCAGGGCCUUGGAAAUAACAGUGAUGAAAAAUUGGUGGUAAGUAUGGCUGAAAGAGGUACAUAAAUAGGUCUCUCAGAAUGGGUACACCAUGCAAAGGUUCCCAUGUUCCAUGUAGUGCCCAUCAAAGGACAUCCAGUGAAGAGAUGAAAAAGAUGUUCUUUCUUGUGGAUGCCAUUUUUCCUCCCAGCCACCUACUUCUAUUCCAGUGAGUCCAAGUAUGAAGUAUCUAGAGUAGCAGAGAAAGAAGCUAUACAUGGGUUCAAACUUAGAGUUUUCAACUCUAGUUGGCUACUGCCAUUCCUCUCUGUACAGACUACUACUAACAUAGACCAACACUGAACUCCUUCCUGAUAAGGCACCAUUUUCAAGGGAGGGCCAACCAGCUACCUGGUGGCAUGCUAGUCAUAUUUGAUUAAUCUCUAGAUAGGGAGGGCAUACUAUAGUCCUUAUGAUUCAUAUUUUGGAAAUGCUCAACCCACCACUCAUGUAUGUGAAGGAGUGUUUUCUUCAUUCCCAUAAUAACCACGUGACAUCCCCUCUGGCCAGGGGCAUAUUUUACAGCAGAGUAAGUAUGGAAACUCAGGCACAUGCCCAUGGUCUCAGCAUGUGUUUUAUCACUAGGAAGCACUUGGCUUAAUAGAGUGCUGGGAUGUCCUUCUGAAAGUUGGUUAUGUUUCUAGCUGGGAAACAUUUCGUGAGAUUGAGGGGUUACAUGAUGGAAUGUGAUAGAUAUCACGAACAAAUCUCUCUGGGCUAGUUUCUCAUAUAUUAGUUUCUCUGUUAGCCAGAGUACAUGGCUCCUGAUGCUAAAAUGUGAAGAUCAGAGUGACCCCUCUUCAUUCUUAAACUUAACAACACACUUGGGAAACAUUUGCAGUUUUGGCAUUGGUAGUUCUGCAGGAUGUAGAGUCCUCCAAGAAGGGAGGAAUCAUUUUACUAAAAAGCAGUCAUUUUUCUGCUGUACUAGGUACUCUGGUCAUUUUGGGUUCCUUGUGGCAGAGAAGAGGGUCACUGUUGUAUCUGGAGUGAUUAUCUCAAUUACCAGGAAGAAAUGCGAUUUCUUCAUCUCAGUGAGAGCAAAGAGUAACAGGGCACCCAAAAGGUUUAACAGAGAAUUUCUUACUUAUGAGGGAGCAGUCUAUUCUCAGUAGUUCUGGUCAUUGGAAAAUUGCAGGAACUCAAUUAAAACAAGAACACUAAAGUCUUAGAUUUUGUAGGAAUAAAAGUUUGGGCCACACCAUUGUGUCUUUGUCUAGCUGACGUCUUGGCAGAGAUCAUAGAAAUGUGGGGUAGGGCAUAAGAUUAUUAUGACUAGCUAAAGCAGUUAUGAUUUGUUCCAUAAUUAUGUUUUUUCCAUCUUUUCCUCUUCUUUCUCGUAUUAUUGACACAAAUGGUGAUUAUCGUUUUAGGUUUCAGUGAGAAUUGAUUAAAUUGACCUCAGCCUGUUCUAAUGCAUUAACUAAUGAGAUAUUGUGUAACCUCUGUACUGGGGACACAUUAAAAAAAUUUAAAAAAAAACUUCAUUGAGGAAUAAUUGACAAGCGUUUGCAUGUAUAUUUAAAGUCUCCAGUACAGUGAUUCAGCGUACAUACAUAUUGUGGAAUGAUUACUAAGUUCAAGGAAAUUAACACAGCUAUCUCCUCACAUUAUUAAUUAUUUUUUUGUGAUGAGAAGGCUUAAUAUUUACUCUCAGCAUCUUUCAAGUAUACGCAUAUUAAGUAUCACCAUGCGUAUUAGAAUCUCAGAACUUAUUUUUUCUGUAACUGAAAAUUUAUAUUGUAUGACUGACAUCACCCAAUUUUCCCCUUCCACAACCCCUGACAACUACUGUUCUAUUCUCUAUUUCUGUGAAAUUUCUUAAAAAAAAAAAAA
rnacentral:lncRNA from 1 species